rnacentral:rRNA from 1 species
UUAGUCCUACGGGACGCAGCAGUGAGGAAUAUUGGUCAAUGGUCGGGAGACUGAACCAGCCAAGCCGCGUGAGGGAGGAAGGUACAGAGUAUCGUAAACCUCUUUUGUCAGGGAACAAAGACUGGGACGCGUCCCCGGAUGAGUGUACCUGAAGAAAAAGCAUCGGCUAACUCCGUGCCAGCAGCCGCGGUAAUACGGAGGAUGCGAGCGUUAUCCGGAUUUAUUGGGUUUAAAGGGUGCGCAGGCGGUCUGUUAAGUCAGCGGUCAAAGCCCGGGGCUCAACCCCGGCCCGCCGUUGAACCUGG